rnacentral:rRNA from 1 species
CGGCGGGUGCUAACGUCCGUCGUGAAGAGGGAAACAACCCAGACCGCCAGCUAAGGUCCCAAAGUCAUGGUUAAGUGGGAAACGAUGUGGGAAGGCCCAGACAGCCAGGAUGUUGGCUUAGAAGCAGCCAUCAUUUAAAGAAAGCGUAAUAGCUCACUGGUCGAGUCGGCCUGCGCGGAAGAUGUAACGGGGCUAAACCAUGCACCGAAGCUGCGGCAGCGACACUAUGUGUUGUUGGGUAGGGGAGCGUUCUGUAAGCCUGUGAAGGUGGCCUGUGAGGGUUGCUGGAGGUAUCAGAAGUGCGAAUGCUGACAUAAGUAACGAUAAAGCGGGUGAAAAGCCCGCUCGCCGGAAGACCAAGGGUUCCUGUCCAACGUUAAUCGGGGCAGGGUGAGUCGACCCCUAAGGCGAGGCCGAAAGGCGUAGUCGAUGGGAAACAGGUUAAUAUUCCUGUACUUGGUGUUA